rnacentral:rRNA from 1 species
UACGGAAGGGGCAAGCGUUGUUCGGAAUCAUUGGGCGUAAAGGGCGCGCAGGUGGCUCUGUAUGUCUGCCGUGAAAGCAUACAGCUCAACUGUAUUGUGUCGGUAGAAACUGCAGGACUUGAGGCUGGGAGGGGCUGGUGGAAUUCCCCGUGUAGCGGUGAAAUGCGUAGAGAUGGGGGAGAACACUCGUGGCGAAGGCGGCCAGCUAGACCAGUUCUGACACUGAGGCGCGACAGCGUGGGGAGCAAACAGG